rnacentral:rRNA from 1 species
AUGAAGGCGUCCUGCUUCCUGGUGGUGCUUCUGCUCGCCGUGGCCACGGGGAGCAGGCUCUCGCUCGCCGCCCGCGAGGGCAGCACCCUGGGCGAGCUCAUCGCCAAGGCCGGCAGCUUCCUCACGUCGGCGGGCCGCGCGGGGGCGGACGGCUGGCGGUCCGCCGCCGCCGCGGAGGUGGACGCCUCGGCGAAGAAGGGGCACGGCCAUCCGGCGGGGGCGAAGAAGCGGCUGAAGAAGUCUUCCGUGAACUGCAUCCCCGCCGACAUGUGCCGGAGGAAGAAGGUGCUGUGCGGCAAGCGGUGCUACAAGACGUCGCACGCCGCCGCCGCCGCCGGCCUCAGCCACGUCCCCCCCACCCGGUGCGUCGUCAGGUGCAAGAAGUGCGUGCCCACCUGCUAG